GGUUUUGUUCAAGCGCCA
rnacentral:snRNA from 1 species